CAGUCGCCGCGGGAAAACGGAGGGUGCAAGCGUUAUCCGGAUUUAUUGGGUUUAAAGGGUCCGUAGGCGGACUUAUAAGUCAGUGGUGAAAGCCUGUCGCUUAACGAUAGAACUGCCAUUGAUACUGUAAGUCUUGAGUAUAUUUGAGGUAGCUGGAAUAAGUAGUGUAGCGGUGAAAUGCAUAGAUAUUACUUAGAACACCAAUUGCGAAGGCAGGUUACCAAGAUAUAACUGACGCUGAGGUACGAAAGCAUGGGGAGCAAACAGGAUUAGAUACCCCCGUAGUCCCUGUCUCUUAUAC
rnacentral:rRNA from 1 species